CAGGGAGACAACAAAAUGUUAAAUAUUAAUUUUGUCACCUUAGGUCGAUCGGUAUCUCACAUUCUUAAAUUUAUUAAGGAUUUUAUUUCCUAAGUUUUUUCUAGGUCACACCCAUUUUUUCCUGGGCCAUUAGCUCAGGUGGUUAGAGCGCACCCCUGAUAAGGGUGAGGUCCCUGGUUCAAGUCCAGGAUGGCCCAUAUCUCUAUGUUGGGGGUAUAGCUCAGUUGGUAGAGCGCCUGCUUUGCAAGCAGGAUGUCAGCGGUUCGAGUCCGCUUACCUCCACUGAUUACCACCUCUCCCAUAAACUUAUAGAAGGGAAAUUUUUGAGUUGUGACCAAAUCCUGAACGAAUCUAGCUUCCUAAUAUUUUUAUUAAGAUGCUGGACUCAUUGAAUUAAUUUCAUUGUUUUCAGAGAACCUUGACAACUGCAUAGAUUAUUUUUAAAGACAAUAAGCAUCUUUAAUGAUGCAGAUUUAUUAUUUGUGCGAAUGCAUUAAUAACAAUUCUAUUAAGCUGAUGCUUCAAUUUUUGAAGUUAUU
rnacentral:tRNA from 1 species